GCGCUGAUUGGCCGCGCGGCCGGGGCCGCUGACGGGGCGAUUCUGCGGGGACGGGCGGGCGGCCCGAGCCUCGUCGCGCCGGGGACGAGGACGGAGCGAGGCGGACACGCGCCCGAGCGACCCCGGGGCAGAGCUGCACGUGCGGAGCCUGGGCAAAGGUGGCCGCUCCUUGCCUGGGCCAGCCUCGGCCCGUCGCAGAGCGGAGGAGUCGUGGCCGCGGUGGCGGGAAGGAGGCAGCUCUUAUGUGCCCUGUUGGCUGGAAAAGCCCUGUUGAAGGACUGUUGGAUGAAGCCUUAAGGGCCACUGCUCCUGCUGGCCACACCCCGCGUUGGCCCCCAUGCUAGUGUGGGGUGGCACCUGCCAUGGUGCCAAGGCCACCUUAUCUACAAAUAUAAGCUGAACAGAAAUCCUACAGUUGUUCAAAGAUGCUUAAGUCUGGACGAGUCAGACACCUCUAGAAGAUCCCGGAGGGGCAAGGGGAGAAAUGAUAGCUCCUGGAAGAGCUGGAAAUAUGACAGAUGGCAGAGCCUGGGCUGGGCAGUCAGGACCAGAGAAAACUGAAGCUAGAAAAAAAGCAGUGGAUGGACUGACUGACCCUCUUAUGCUACAGAGCUAGAAACUUUG